UGUUUGCACUUAGCGGGGUAAGAACCUUCGACUAAGGUUCGACUCGAGCGCCAGCGAGAGAACGUUGCCGCAGGCAACGGCCCGAAGGGCGAGGAGAGAUAGCGACGAGUUAUCCUUCCCCACCACCA
rnacentral:sRNA from 1 species